rnacentral:rRNA from 1 species
GUGCCGCAGCUAACGCAUUAAGCACUCCGCCUGGGGAGUACGACCGCAAGGUUGAAACUCAAAGGAAUUGACGGGGGCCCGCACAAGCGGUGGAGCAUGUGGUUUAAUUCGAAGCUACGCGAAGAACCUUACCAGGUCUUGACAUCUUGCGCCAACCCUAGAGAUAGGGCGUUUCCUUCGGGAACGCAAUGACAGGUGGUGCGUGGUCGUCGUCAGCUCGUGUCGUGAGAUGUUGGGUUAAGUCCCGCAACGAGCGCAACCCUUGUUACUAGUUGCCAGCAUUCAGUUGGGCACUCUAGUGAGACUGCCGGUGACAAACCGGAGGAAGGUGGGGACGACGUCAGAUCAUCAUGCCCCUUAUGACCUGGGCUACACACGUGCUACAAUGGACGGUACAACGAGUCGCGAACUCGCGAGGGCAAGCUAAUCUCUUAAAACCGUUCUCAGUUCGGACUGCAGGCUGCAACUCGCCUGCACGAAGUCGGAAUCGCUAGUAAUCGCGGAUCAGCAUGCCGCGGUGAAUACGUUCCCGGGCCUUGUACACACCGCCCGUCACACCAUGAGAGU